CGAUAACGAACGAGACUCUAGCCUACUAAAUAGUUUGCGAGAUUCACGCAUCUCGUAUUAACUUCUUAGAGGGACAAGUGGCAUUUAGCCACACGAGAUUGAGCAAUAACAGGUCUGUGAUGCCCUUAGAUGUUCAGGGCCGCACGCGCGCUACACUGAAAGCAUCAACGUGCGUACUUUUCCUGCUCGGAGACGAGUGGGUAACCCGUUGAACCGCUUUCGUGCUAGGGAUUGGAGUCUGCAAUUGUCUCCAUGAACGAGGAAUUCCCAGUAAGCGCGAGUCAUCAGCUCGCGUUGAUUACGUCCCUGCCCUUUGUACACACCGCCCGUCGCUACUACCGAUUGAAUGUUUUAGUGAGUCCAUUGGACUGAACCCGACCUGGWGUCUUCGGAUGUCGGGACGGUGUUUGGGAAGCUGGGCAAACUUGAGCAUUUAGAGGAAGUAAAAAUCGUAACAAGGUUUCCGUA
rnacentral:rRNA from 1 species